rnacentral:rRNA from 1 species
GACGAACGCUGGCGGCGUGCUUAACACAUGCAAGUCGAACGAAGAGCGAUGGAAGCUUGCUUCUAUCAAUCUUAGUGGCGAACGGGUGAGUAACGCGUAAUCAACCUGCCCUUCAGAGGGGGACAACAGUUGGAAACGACUGCUAAUACCGCAUACGAUCUAAUCUCGGCAUCGAGGAUGGAUGAAAGGUGGCCUCUACAUGUAAGCUAUCACUGAAGGAGGGGAUUGCGUCUGAUUAGCUAGUUGGAGGGGUAACGGCCCACCAAGGCGAUGAUCAGUAGCCGGUCUGAGAGGAUGAACGGCCACAUUGGGACUGAGACACGGCCCAGACUCCUACGGGAGGCAGCAGUGGGGAAUCUUCCGCAAUGGACGAAAGUCUGACGGAGCAACGCCGCGUGAGUGAUGACGGCCUUCGGGUUGGAAAGCUCUGUUAAUCGGGACGAAAGGCCUUCUUGCGAAUAGUGAGAAGGAUUGACGGUACCGGAAUAGAAAGCCACGGCUAACUACGUG